rnacentral:rRNA from 2 species
CCUACGGGCGGCUGCAGUGGGGGAUAUUGCGCAAUGGGGGAAACCCUGACGCAGCAACGCCGCGUGAAGGAAGAAGGCCUUCGGGUUGUAAACUUUUGUCUUUGGGGACGAUAAUGACGGUACCCGAGGAGGAAGCCACGGCUAACUACGUGCCAGCAGCCGCGGUAAUACGUAGGUGGCGAGCGUUGUCCGGAUUUACUGGGUGUAAAGGGCGUGUAGGCGGGAUAGCAAGUCAGAUGUGAAAUACCAAGGCUUAACUUUGGGGGUGCAUUUGAAACUGUUAUUCUUGAGUGUCGGAGAGGGAAGCGGAAUUCCUAGUGUAGCGGUGAAAUGCGUAGAUAUUAGGAGGAACACCAGUGGCGAAGGCGGCUUUCUGGACGAUAACUGACGCUGAGGCGCGAAAGCGUGGGGAGCGAACAGGAUUAGAUACCCCUGUAGUC